rnacentral:rRNA from 1 species
GACGAACGCUGGCGGCGUGCCUAAUACAUGCAAGUAGAACGCUGAAGAGAGGAGCUUGCUCUUCUUGGAUGAGUUGCGAACGGGUGAGUAACGCGUAGGUAACCUGCCUUGUAGCGGGGGAUAACUAUUGGAAACGAUAGCUAAUACCGCAUAACAAUGGAUGACACAUGUCAUUUAUUUGAAAGGGGCAAUUGCUCCACUACAAGAUGGGCCUGCGUUGUAUUAGCUAGUAGGUGAGGUAAUGGCUCACCUAGGCGACGAUACAUAGCCGACCUGAGAGGGUGAUCGGCCACACUGGGACUGAGACACGGCCCAGACUCCUACGGGAGGCAGCAGUAGGGAAUCUUCGGCAAUGGGGGCAACCCUGACCGAGCAACGCCGCGUGAGUGAAGAAGGUUUUCGGAUCGUAAAGCUCUGUUGUAAGUCAAGAACGGGUGUGAGAGUGGAAAGUUCACACUGUGACGGUAGCUUACCAGAAAGGGACGGCUAACUACGU